GUUGUGAAGAAGGAGUUAGUGCUGUGAGGAGCUGCCCAUGGAAAAUCACUGAGAUGGCUAAACCGAGCAGAUGGGGGAGUGAUUUCAGACAGUGACCUCAUUUCUGCAAAUACUACUUCUCAAAAAGAGACAGCAAUCAACCUGUGUCUUACAAGAAGAAAAAGGAAGAACUUGUGGGUGGAUGGUAAUUCUGACCAAGGCAUUCAAGAGGUGUUUAUGCACUGAGAGCCUGUGCCCCACUACCAGCCAGGGCAGGGGGAAGGCACAACCAAGCUAAAGCUGAGAAUUCAAUGUACUUUCUUAUUUUAUUUUCUUGAAAAAGACCCCAAACAGCUGACAGGACUGGUGAUUUUUGGUUUUUUCCUAUGUCCUGUCCUUCAAACACUGUAGACAGCCUGUGAGCCAGUGUCCCAGAUCAGAGGAGAGCGAUGCCAAGCCCUGCUGUGGGAGACCAGCGCUGCCCAGGGCUGCAGAGCCCUGAACCUGCCAGUCAUCCUCAGCACAAGCCAAGGCUGAACUUGUAAUGGAGGUGAAGUUCAUUGCCCCCAUGUUAUUUCCUUUGAGAGACGUUAAUGUAUCUGCCCUUCAGCACAGAAAAUGAGAGAACAAAUCAGGUAACUUCAGCUUCAACAACAAAGGAAACAGAAGGUGAUAUGAGAUGCCGCAUACACCACAGAACAUGUGUAAUAUAUUGAGGUUUGUGGCCAGUAAGGAAUUUUUUUCUGUUUUUUUGCAAGCAGUGAACUUCUAUUCAAGGUGCACUGGGAAAAUUGAGGCAUUAAAAGCACAGUAGCUACAGCUGUAUAUGAAGUUCUGCAAGUAACUUCAAGAAUGUUCGUUAGACAAACAGAUUUUCACGUUACUUGAUAAUUGUUUAAAUCUCUUUAAAUAGUUGAAAAGUAUUUUU